UUAAGUUCAGCGGGUAGUCCUACCUGAUUUGAGGUCAAAUGACAUUCACUUUGUCUUUCGACAGUUAGAAGCCAUCUCCACUUGAAUACAAACAAUGCUUUUUGAUUAUCACAUUGUGUGAUCAAAGGCAGAUCGCUAAUGCAUUUAGAAUGAGUCGUAAGGCACUCCACGACAGCAUUCAAGUCCAAUUUCAAACAAAA
rnacentral:misc_RNA from 1 species